GUCUAUGGCCACACCACCCUGAACACACCUGAUCUCAUGUGAUCGUGAAAGCUAAGCAGGGCAGGUCCCAGUUAGUACUUGGGUGGGAGAAUAGUAAAUAAGUAAAAGAGACAUAGAAA
rnacentral:rRNA from 1 species